rnacentral:rRNA from 1 species
ACUCCUACGGGAGGCAGCAGUGAGGAAUAUUGGUCAAUGGAGGGAACUCUGAACCAGCCAUCCCGCGUGUAGGAAGACGGCCUUAUGGGUUGUAAACUACUUUUAUACAGGAAGAAACGUACCCUCGUGAGGGUGCCUGACGGUACUGUAGGAAUAAGCACCGGCUAACUCCGUGCCAGCAGCCGCGGUAAUACGGAGGGUGCGAGCGUUAAUCGGAAUUACUGGGCGUAAAGCGCAUGCAGGCGGCCUGUUAAGUCAGAUGUGAAAGCCCGGGGCUUAACCUCGGAAUUGCAUUUGAAACUGGCAGGCUAGAGUCUUGUAGAGGGGGUAGGAAUUUCAUGGUGUAGCGGUGAAAUGCAGUAGAGAUCUGAAGGAAUACCAGUGGCGAAGGCGGCCCCCUGGA